rnacentral:rRNA from 1 species
ACUCCUACGGGAGGCAGCAGUGGGGAAUAUUGCACAAUGGGCGCAAGCCUGAUGCAGCCAUGCCGCGUGUGUGAAGAAGGCCUUCGGGUUGUAAAGCACUUUCAGCGAGGAGGAAGGUGGUGAACUUAAUACGUUCAUCAAUUGACGUUACUCGCAGAAGAAGCACCGGCUAACUCCGUGCCAGCAGCCGCGGUAAUACGGAGGGUGCAAGCGUUAAUCGGAAUUACUGGGCGUAAAGCGCACGCAGGCGGUUUGUUAAGUCAGAUGUGAAAU